GUAUGUACAUAUUUUAUUUUAUUUUUUUUAGUAAAGAUAAAAAAGAAAAAAAAAUAAAAUAAAAAUAAAAUUGCUUAAAAUAAAGUAGAUACAAACCACAGGGUAUAAACGUGUUUUAAAUUUUGAAUAGUUUAUGCAGUACAAUUUUGUACACAA